AGUGAACGCUGGCGGCAGGCCUAACACAUGCAAGUCGAACGGCAGCACAGUAAGAGCUUGCUCUUACGGGUGGCGAGUGGCGGACGGGUGCGGAAUACAUCGGAAUCUACUUUUUCGCGGGGGAUAACGUAGGGAAACUUACGCUAAUACCGCAUACGACCUACGGGUGAAAGCACGGGAUCUUCGGACCUUGCGCGAUUGAAUGAGCCGAUGUCGGAUUAGCUAGUUGGCGGGGUAAAGGCCCACCAAGGCGACGAUCCGUAGCUGGUCUGAGAGGAUGAACAGCCACACUGGAACUGAGACACGGUCCAGACUCCUACGGGAGGCAGCAGUGGGGAAUCUUGGACAAUGGGCGCAAGCCUGAUCCAGCCAUACCGCGUGGGUGAAGAAGGCCUUCGGGUUGUAAAGCCCUUUUGUUGGGAAAGAAAAGCAGCUGGUUAAUACCCCGCGGUUCUGACGGUACCCAAAGAAUAAGCACCGGCUAACUUCGUG
rnacentral:rRNA from 1 species